CUCUCUCUCUCUCUCUCUCUCUCUCUCUCUGCGCUACCAGACAGCAGCAACAAUUUUCUCUCUUCUUCUGUUUUUGGGUCAAAUUCUUCCUCUAUUGGCUACAUCUUCUAUUAUCUUGGGUGGGCAACUUGGCAACAACAUCUUCUCCUCUCCUUUUGUCACCAACAAGGAUUACGUCGUUUAAUAUGCAAAUAUCCGGUGAAUGAACAAGAUAAUGUGCGAAGAGCAUAUAUUCUUUUAGGACCAUGUCAACCUGAGUUAGAAGCUUAUCCAAGCCACUUAAAAGGGCAGGACUUUCGUCGAUUUAAUAAAAAGUGGUUUGGCCAAUUCACUUGGCUUGAGCAUUCAGUUGCUAAGAAUAAGGUAUUUUGUUUUUCUUACUUCCUUUUUGACAUGAAUCAGUCACACCCAACCUUUAUUGUUGAUGGUUUUACUCUUGAACAUGCAUUUACUUUUGGUUUUAGUUUUAGAUUUUGUAUUUGUUAAACUUUUAUUUAUGGAUAGAGAUGCAUUUGAGGGUAAGACUCAUUAUGUCUCCCCUGACUAGGUGUAUCUUUUUAUAUUUAUUAAUGAAAUUCACUCGUAUCGUCGAGUUUUAUAUGUAAGUUUUGCCCAACCGGCUUUUUAAUCCUAGAAUCGCAACUACUCACGUG